rnacentral:lncRNA from 1 species
CAUGAAGGCAUUUCAUGGGGAACCUCCAAAGAAGUUCCAUUAUUGAGGCCUGCACUCAAGCACACCCAACCUUGUCACCUGCCUGUGACUAAAAGAAGUUUCUUCCAGCAAAGACACUGUACAAUCACAGGCAGCUACACUGUGGAAAAUGUAAAUGCAAUAGAAAACACAGACUUGGAAGAGCAUCUGUUGUCCCCUUCAGGUCAAGCAGUGGUCUUGAAAGAUGAACCAGCACGGAGAGAACUCAGAAGGAGCAAGGAGUAACAGGAUGAGCUGGGAGCUGGAAGGAGAGGAAAGGGAGGUCAAUGAGGGACUUUUUUCUUCUUCACAAUUCCACAAACAUGCCAUGGAUUCACGGUGAGUUUGGGUUUUGAUCACUGAGCUGCCCCAAGGGAUGCUGACCUGGUGAGGGGUCUGCAGCCUUCCCCUUGGACUUUCCCCGUGCCAGGUAUGGACUGAGCACUGCCUGUCUGAGUAACUGAACCCAGCUGUAACUGUGCACCUUGCCUCUGUGAGUAGAAUAAAAGAACUAAAAAAAGAGGAUGGAGAAGCA